rnacentral:rRNA from 1 species
AUGGGCUGGAGAUAUCACUGUCUUCCUAGACAUCCAAUCAUAGGCCUACUCAACUUCAUCGACGGGCUAUGGUCGGCAAGCGGCGGUGAGCGGAUCAUCAUCUUCACCACCAACCACAAGGAGAAGCUGGACCCGGCGCUAAUCCGGCGGGGUAGGAUGGACAAGCACAUCGAGAUGUCCUACUGCCGCUUCGAGGGCUUCAAGGUGCUCGCCAAGAACUACCUAGACGUGACCGAGCAUGUGUUGUUCGGCGAGAUCCGGCAGCUGCUCGAAGAGACCGAUAUGUCACCGGCCGACGUGGCAGAGAACCUGAUGCCCAUGUCAAAGAAGAAAAAGAAGGACCCAAACAUGUGCUUGGCAGGCCUCAUCGCGGCGCUCAAACAGGCCAAGAAAGACGCGGUGACGGUUGCGGCAGCGGCAAAGGCGAAGGAGGAAGAGGAGGCAGAAGCAAAGAAAACCAAGGAGAAAGAGGAACCCAAGGAAGACAAAUGA